GGUCCAUACACUAUUGGAGAAGGGUCCAUACACUAUUGGAGAAGUGUCCAUACACUAUUGGAGAAGGUUCCAGACACUAUUGGAGAAGGGUUCAGACACUAUUGGAGAAGUGUACGUACACUAUUGGAGAAGGUUCCAGACACUAUUGGAGAAUGUGUCAUGGUUCUGCCUUCUCUCUGCUGCUGCUGCUAUUUUCCCUUCAUUGUUUGCAGGUGAGCAUGUUGGGGAGCAGCAGCUGCAGCUAAUUACCAUCAGCCUGGCCAGAGGAUUUAAGGAGUGGUGCUGCCACACCUCAUUGCCGGUUGAUUACUGUUGGCCCUGUAUUCCCUCCACCCGCCUGAGGUGUGCUUUAUCACAGCGUCGUUCAGCUUCCCUGGCCUCCUGCUCUCCACCGCUCACCUGCCUUCCUGGAUCCAGCAUCUCCUCCAGCGACCAUCUCCUCCCUGCAUCAACCUGACUUGCCUCUCCCUCCUGCCCCUCGUCCUGCUCAACUCAAGUCGGAGUUGCCUCGUUUCCUGUCCCGUUUGGAUCAGCGCCCUUAGUUUUCCCUUUGUUGUUUUUUUCUAAAAUAA